UGUGUGGCCCAUGACUGAUUUUUUCUAUGGGUCAGUGGCACCUGAUCAAAAAAAAAGGUUCCCCGCCCCUGAAAGAAGAGUUUUUCUUAGAGA